UACGAAGGGGGCUAGCGUUGUUCGGAUUCACUGGGCUUAAAGGGCGCGUAGGCGGGCGGUCAAGUCAGGGGUGAAAUCUUUCAGCUCAACUGGAAAAGUGCCUCUGAUACUGACGGCCUCGAGGGAGGUAGGGGCAUGUGGAACUUCCGGUGGAGCGGUGAAAUGCGUAGAGAUCGGAAGGAACGCCGGUGGCGAAAGCGACGUGCUGGACCUCUUCUGACGCUGAGGCGCGAAAGCCAGGGGAGCGAACGGG
rnacentral:rRNA from 1 species